rnacentral:rRNA from 1 species
ACGGGAGGCAGCAGUGGGGAAUAUUGGACAAUGGGGGAAACCCUGAUCCAGCGACGCCGCGUUAGUGAAUAAGUAUUUCUGUAUGUAAAGCUCUAUCAGCAAGGAAGAAAAUUACUGUACUUGACUAAGAAGCUCCGGCUAAAUACGUGCCAGCAGCCGCGGUAAUACGUAUGGAGCAAGCGUUAUCCGUAUUUACUGGGUGUAAAGGGAGCGUAGACGGCUUUGCAAGUCUGAAGUGAAAGCCCGGGGCUCAAACCCGGAACUGCUUUGGAAACUGUAGAGCUAGAGUACAGGAGAGGUAAGCGGAAUUCCUAGUGUAGCGGUGAAAUGCGUAGAUAUUAGGAGGAACACCAGUGGCGAAGGCGGCUUACUGGACUGUAACUGACGUUGAGGCUCGAAAGCGUGGGGAGCAAACAGGAUUAGAUACCCUGGUA